rnacentral:lncRNA from 1 species
GGGGAGUGUCCGCGUCCCUGCCCGUGCGCGCGGUGAUUGAUGGAGCCGCGCCCGCCCCUUCCUUUGCCUGAGUCUCUUCUCGCCCCCUCCCUGCCGGUGCAGCCGCGUCUUGGUGCCCCGUUCCCUCCGCCAGGCGGGACCGGCCGGGCGCUCAAUGAGUGGCGGCAGCAGCAGCAUGCACGCCCGGUCCGUGCUCCUGCUCGCUCUCGGGCUCGCCGCGGAGCUGGUGGCCGCGGUCACCUUCUGGUACAGAUCUUGAAGAAAAAGGUUUGA